GAUGAAGAACGUAGCGAAAUGCGAUAAGUAGUGUGAAUUGCAGAAUUCCGUGAAUCAUCGAAUCUUUGAACGCACAUUGCGCCUUCUGGUAUUCCGGAAGGCAUGCCUGUUCGAGAGUCAUUAACAACCGUUUCGAUCCCUUUCUUUCAGAAAUUACAAAGAGGAAAAGGGUUUGGUUAUGGUGGAGGAGGGAAAGGGAGCGUUUAGCCUGUAAAAAAAGAGGCUGUGUUCCGCCUCCCCCCCAAAAUUGUACAGGCGGUCGUGUGCGCCCACGCAUCGAGGUGUUGUAAAAGCUGCCACGGCACUUGUCACCUGUGCAGUGCGAGAUUGGCCAGCCGGUUUAAAAACCCCUCCAAACAAUCAAAGGUUGACCUCGGAUCAGGUAGGGAUACCCGCUGAACUUAAGCAUAUCAAUAAGCGGAGGA
rnacentral:misc_RNA from 1 species